UACAGAGGUCUCGAGCGUUAGGCGGAAUCACUGGGCUUAAAGCGUGUGUAGGCGGGAUCGUUAAGUGCCUUGUGAAAUCCCACGGCUCAACCGUGGAACUGCUUGGCAUACUGGCGAUCUUGAGCCACUUAGGGGCUACCGGAACAAAUGGUGGAGCGGUGAAAUGCGCAGAUAUCAGGAGGAACACCGGUGGCGAAGGCGGGUCUCUGGGCCGAUACUGACGCUGAGGAGCGAAAGCGUGGGGAGCAAACAGG
rnacentral:rRNA from 1 species